UAGUAACACUUUCUACUUUAUCAGUAACUUUAUAUUUCUAAAAUAACCUUUCAGUGUUUCAGUAAUGCAUGCUCUUCAGUGUGUUUGUGUAGACUUGCAGUUAUAGCAGUUGGCCACAGGGUGUCGCGCUUCUCCACACACCAGCAGGAUGCGCAUUAACAGACGGUCUCAGGAGAGAAAUUAGAACAUGGCGUGAGAUGAGACGGUGCUGUCGCGCUGAAAAAGGGGGGCUGUUUGUACAAAAUUUGGAGCGGUUAUUUUCAAUAUUUGUUCCGGAACAGAUUACCAAAGGAAAGAGUUGGAAUAUUCUAUAAAUUGCUUGGACAACAGGAAGUUGCAUCAUCCACAUUUCCUGAAGAUCAUGAGAAGAAGAAAAGAGUCCCUCAGUUGUCCUUGUUGUGGAAAGAUGGAUCUCAAAAUCAUACAGCCACUGUUGGAAAGGGGUCAAAUAUGCUGGAAAAGCAAAGAAUAUGCAGUACGUGGAGGAUUUUCCUGAAGAACAGUGGAGAGUUUAACUGCUCAGGACAAACAAGGGACUCAUGAACAACUAUCACAAAGCAUAAAAACAGUCGUUGAUGAUCCAGGUAACAAUACACAGUAUUAAGAAUCAAGAGUAUGUAAAAUCCGCUUUCAUUUGUGGAAAUCCACUGAGCCCACAAUAAAUGCAAAUGACACAAUCCUUCGUCCCGAGGUGAAGCGUGCUGCCCGGUUUGCAGCGUUUGAUUUUGAAGUGGCUCUCCUUUUGAAGCUUGUAAUACAUGAAAAUGGUUUCAUUUGUGUAAAUUCAGUUAUUAUUGUGUCUUGUGGACUAUAUGUAAAUAUCUGUUAUGUGAAAUAGCUUAUUCAGGGCAGUAGUAAAUAAAAAACAAAAUGCAAUUUUUAUAAUCCCACUUAUUUUUUAAGAAAUUAUUAACAUUUUGCAGAUUCUGCAAGGCAUAUUUAAACUUAUGACCCCAAUUGUAAGUUAUCAUCACUGUGUUAUUAAAGCCACUUGAAGGCAUGAGUUGCAGUGAUUUUAUCAUGGGGAGGGGUGUUCUAAGGCACAACGCGAUGCGGAGUGCCUAAAACCCUCUUAACUUAUUUUGGUUGCUAAGCAACGGGCAAAGAUUAGGGUUUUCUAUGGACAAAACAAUGGUGUAAGAGUUAAGUAAUUAUGUGAAUUGUAAUUGUGAAUCCUUGAAAACUUUUAUCAACAAAGACUCUGGCGCUUUGUAACAAUCAAAACUAAGACUGUUCAUUUCAGGUUUGUGGCACAGUGAAAGCCUUCUAUAAAAAAAAAAAAAAGAGUUGUGGAGAGAGAUUGAUUGUUUAUAGCAGCUAUAAUGCAAAUCAUAGCAGAGACUUGUUUCAGUGACA